rnacentral:lncRNA from 1 species
AUCCGUUCAUCUGCAGCUCAGCAGCUGAGCUCCAUUUCCUGACCUCAGAUGCCUCUCCUCAGGCCAAGCAGAGCCCUUCAAGAACCAGCUUAAAGCCGGUUUUGCAGCCUGAUCUCCAGGAAAUGCUAAAACAGCCACAAAUGAGGGGAAAAAAAUAAUUCAAAGGAGUUUGAAAACAUGAAAACAGCCCAGUGCUGCCACUCUGUAAGCAACAAGGAGUGGAGGCCCUUGGAGGAACACAAGAACAGGGCCAGAAAUCUGAAAUCAGCCUCCCACUGGCUGUCAUCGUUCCUAUAGGUUUUUUCCCCGCCUCAGAGCUCCUGUGGAGUGCUGAGGACCCACUUGAAGGCACCCAGAUUAAGGCUGCUUGAGGCAAGCUUUAUCCCAGCACAGUUUAAUAUCUGAACACUUGAUGGUGCAAUCCCAUAAUGUUCUUUUCACUGUUUUUAUUUAUUUAUUUAUCUAUUUUCCAGCCUAAUGCUAACUACAGCUGCUGCUGGAUAACAAAUUGUUAUAUAAAGAGGGGAAAACAGUGAUUUAGCUGCCUUUUUUUUUUUUUUUUAAUGUUAAUAAUUGAAUAGUUGAAGCAACAUGCAGCAUUUUGCAGCGAUGAGAGACAUCCACCCCAGAACAAGCACAUCCCAGCAGCUGUCUUUGUUUCCUGGAAACACAGGCGAUGCA